AAGCCUAUCUCAGUUCGGAUUGGAGGCUGAAACUCGCCUCCAUGAAGUUGGAUUCGCUAGUAAUCGCGCAUCAGCCAUGGCGCGGUGAAUACGUUCCCGGGCCUUGUACACACCGCCCGUCAAGCCAUGGGAGUUGGGGGUGCCUGAAGUUCGUGACCGAAAGGAGCGACCUAGGGCAAAACCGAUGACUGGGGCUAAGUCGUAACAAGGUACC
rnacentral:rRNA from 1 species